GGUUAAGCGACUAAGCGUACACGGUGGAUGCCCUGGCAGUCAGAGGCGAUGAAGGACGUGCUAAUCUGCGAUAAGCGUCGGUGAGGUGAUAUGAACCGUUAUAACCGGCGAUUUCCGAAUGGGGAAACCCAGUGUGUUUCGACACACUAUCAUUAACUGAAUCCAUAGGUUAAUGAGGCGAACCGGGGGAACUGAAACAUCUAAGUACCCCGAGGAAAAGAAAUCAACCGAGAUUCCCCCAGUAGCGGCGAGCGAACGGGGAGGAGCCCAGAGCCUGAAUCAGUGUGUGUGUUAGUGGAAGCGUCUGGAAAGGCGCGCGAUACAGGGUGACAGCCCCGUACACAAAAAUGCACAUGCUGUGAGCUCGAUGAGUAGGGCGGGACACGUGGUAUCCUGUCUGAAUAUGGGGGGACCAUCCUCCAAGGCUAAAUACUCCUGACUGACCGAUAGUGAACCAGUACCGUGAGGGAAAGGCGAAAAGAACCCCGGCGAGGGGAGUGAAAAAGAACCUGAAACCGUGUACGUACAAGCAGUGGGAGCCUCUUAAUGGGGUGACUGCGUACCUUUUGUAUAAUGGGUCAGCGACUUAUAUUCUGUAGCAAGGUUAACCGAAUAGGGGAGCCGAAGGGAAACCGAGUCUUAACUGGGCGUUAAGUUGCAGGGUAUAGACCCGAAACCCGGUGAUCUAGCCAUGGGCAGGUUGAAGGUUGGGUAACACUAACUGGAGGACCGAACCGACUAAUGUUGAAAAAUUAGCGGAUGACUUGUGGCUGGGGGUGAAAGGCCAAUCAAACCGGGAGAUAGCUGGUUCUCCCCGAAAGCUAUUUAGGUAGCGCCUCGUGAAUUCAUCUCCGGGGGUAGAGCACUGUUUCGGCAAGGGGGUCAUCCCGACUUACCAACCCGAUGCAAACUGCGAAUACCGGAGAAUGUUAUCACGGGAGACACACGGCGGGUGCUAACGUCCGUCGUGAAGAGGGAAACAACCCAGACCGCCAGCUAAGGUCCCAAAGUCAUGGUUAAGUGGGAAACGAUGUGGGAAGGCCCAGACAGCCAGGAUGUUGGCUUAGAAGCAGCCAUCAUUUAAAGAAAGCGUAAUAGCUCACUGGUCGAGUCGGCCUGCGCGGAAGAUGUAACGGGGCUAAACCAUGCACCGAAGCUGCGGCAGCGACGCUUAUGCGUUGUUGGGUAGGGGAGCGUUCUGUAAGCCUGUGAAGGUGUGCUGUGAGGCAUGCUGGAGGUAUCAGAAGUGCGAAUGCUGACAUAAGUAACGAUAAAGCGGGUGAAAAGCCCGCUCGCCGGAAGACCAAGGGUUCCUGUCCAACGUUAAUCGGGGCAGGGUGAGUCGACCCCUAAGGCGAGGCCGAAAGGCGUAGUCGAUGGGAAACAGGUUAAUAUUCCUGUACUUGGUGUUACUGCGAAGGGGGGACGGAGAAGGCUAUGUUGGCCGGGCGACGGUUGUCCCGGUUUAAGCGUGUAGGCUGAUUUUCCAGGCAAAUCCGGAAAAUCAAGGCUGAGGCGUGAUGACGAGGCACUACGGUGCUGAAGCAACAAAUGCCCUGCUUCCAGGAAAAGCCUCUAAGCAUCAGGUAACAUCAAAUCGUACCCCAAACCGACACAGGUGGUCAGGUAGAGAAUACCAAGGCGCUUGAGAGAACUCGGGUGAAGGAACUAGGCAAAAUGGUGCCGUAACUUCGGGAGAAGGCACGCUGAUAUGUAGGUGAAGUCCCUCGCGGAUGGAGCUGAAAUCAGUCGAAGAUACCAGCUGGCUGCAACUGUUUAUUAAAAACACAGCACUGUGCAAACACGAAAGUGGACGUAUACGGUGUGACGCCUGCCCGGUGCCGGAAGGUUAAUUGAUGGGGUUAGCGGCAACGCGAAGCUCUUGAUCGAAGCCCCGGUAAACGGCGGCCGUAACUAUAACGGUCCUAAGGUAGCGAAAUUCCUUGUCGGGUAAGUUCCGACCUGCACGAAUGGCGUAAUGAUGGCCAGGCUGUCUCCACCCGAGACUCAGUGAAAUUGAACUCGCUGUGAAGAUGCAGUGUACCCGCGGCAAGACGGAAAGACCCCGUGAACCUUUACUAUAGCUUGACACUGAACAUUGAGCCUUGAUGUGUAGGAUAGGUGGGAGGCUUUGAAGUGUGGACGCCAGUCUGCAUGGAGCCGACCUUGAAAUACCACCCUUUAAUGUUUGAUGUUCUAACGUGGGCCCCUAAUCGGGGUUGCGGACAGUGUCUGGUGGGUAGUUUGACUGGGGCGGUCUCCUCCUAAAGAGUAACGGAGGAGCACGAAGGUUGGCUAAUCCUGGUCGGACAUCAGGAGGUUAGUGCAAUGGCAUAAGCCAGCUUGACUGCGAGCGUGACGGCGCGAGCAGGUGCGAAAGCAGGUCAUAGUGAUCCGGUGGUUCUGAAUGGAAGGGCCAUCGCUCAACGGAUAAAAGGUACUCCGGGGAUAACAGGCUGAUACCGCCCAAGAGUUCAUAUCGACGGCGGUGUUUGGCACCUCGAUGUCGGCUCAUCACAUCCUGGGGCUGAAGUAGGUCCCAAGGGUAUGGCUGUUCGCCAUUUAAAGUGGUACGCGAGCUGGGUUUAGAACGUCGUGAGACAGUUCGGUCCCUAUCUGCCGUGGGCGCUGGAGAACUGAGGGGGGCUGCUCCUAGUACGAGAGGACCGGAGUGGACGCAUCACUGGUGUUCGGGUUGUCAUGCCAAUGGCACUGCCCGGUAGCUAAAUGCGGAAGAGAUAAGUGCUGAAAGCAUCUAAGCACGAAACUUGCCCCGAGAUGAGUUCUCCCUGAGACUUAGAGUCUCCUGAAGGAACGUUGAAGACGACGACGUUGAUAGGCCGGGUGUGUAAGCGCAGCGAUGCGUUGAGCUAACCGGUACUAAUGAACCGUGAGGCUUAACCUU
rnacentral:rRNA from 1 species